rnacentral:misc_RNA from 1 species
AUCCUCAAGCAUCUUUUGCUUGGUCUUGGGGGAAGAUGCCCGCAUCUCUCCCGAAAUCUGUCAGCGGAAAAGCCAUGUCAGUCUACAGGUGUGAUACUUACUGUUCACCUGGUGACUCCGAUGGUGUUCUUGCUGUUAAUAGCCCCCCAGCUUCUCAUGAGUUUGACCUCGGAUCAGGUAGGGAUACCCGCUGAACUUAA